AAAGGAUCCUUGCCUGAUCCUUAUCUCCCCAGAUAUCUACCAUCAGGGAAAAAAUAGGAGGCCGGCAUACAGGAAAUGCUAGACACUCCAUCCAAGUCUUGCCAUGCAGAAAUGCGAAAAAGUACUUUCAACCAGAGGGAGGUUCAGUGGACAAUGCACAAUGUGCAACAAUGAAUGUGACUGGCUGUUAACUGGCUAUAUGACACAUUGCAACAUUGCAUCUAAUGACUAUCAAAGUGGUCGCAAUGCAGUAUUGCUGGAGUGGCAGAGAAGCUAUCAGUGGGCACGUCGACAUCAGAACUGGACCACGAACCAUUAGAAGAAGCUGACCUUGUCUGAUUAGUCACAGUUUCUUUUACAUCAUGUGGAUGGCUGUAUGUGUGUGCACCAGUCCAGGAUAUACUAUGGGAAGAAGACAGGAGUAUUGUGAUGCACUGGGCAAUGUUCUGCUGGAAUACCUUGGAUCCUUGCUUUAAUGUGGAUAUUGGUAAACACAUAUCACCUACACAAAUGCAGUAAAUGUGUCACAGUGUUG